rnacentral:rRNA from 1 species
GAUAGGCAAUUUGGUUUUAGGCAGGGUAGAUGCGUUGAGGAUGCUUGGAGGUAUGUUCGCCACUCUGUGGAGUCCAGUACUGCUAAGUAUGUCCUAGGUGUUUUUGUAGACUUUAAGGGGGCGUUCGACUACCUGAGUUGGGACAGUGUGGUUCGUAGAUUGGAUGAAUGUGGUAGUCGGGACUUAGCUCUUUGGAAGAGCUAUUUUUCCGGUAGACGUGCGACUGUUGUAGGAUUGAAUGAAUGUGUGAGUGUAGACGUCGUUCGUGGUUGCCCGCAGGGAUCCAUUUGUGGGCCAUUCAUUUGGAACCUUAUGAUGGAUACCUUGUUAGGUCAGCUUGAGCGUACGUAUAUGUGUUGUGCAUAUGCAGAUGACCUGCUCAUCAUGAUUGAGGGGCGGUCGCGCGAUGAGAUUGAGGCAAGUGCUGGAGUGUGCUUGCGCACUGUUCGCGAAUGGGGCGAUAGUGUUGGCGUUGAUUUGGCAAUGGACAAGACGGUGUCAAUGCUGCUGAAAGGCAGGUUGGCGAACAGUCGACAUCCUGUUGUCAGACUAGAUGGCGUCAGUCUGAAGUAUGUCACGGAGGUGAAAUACCUUGGCAUAACUUUUGGUGAAAGGAUGUGUUUUACUCCUCAUAUCACAGGUCUCAGAAGGCGGCUGCUCGUCGUGGUGGGACAGGUUCGACGAAUUUUGCGGAAUGAAUGGGGCCUUAGCAGGAAGGCUGUACGAACCAUAUACGGGGGUCUGUUUGUUGCUUGCGCAGCAUAUGGAUCUUCGGUGUGGUGUGGUGCGGCUAUGAGUGUUGCGGGCAGAAAGGAAGUGCUGGCCUGCCAGAGAGUGAUUUUGCUUGGAUGUUUGCCGGUGUGCCGCACUGUCUCUACGGAGGCAAUGCAGGUACUCCUUGGUGCUGUCCCUCUUGACUUGGAGAUACGGCGUCGUGCUGUACGAUACAAGAUUAAGAGGCGUCUGCCUUUGUGUCAGAAUGAAUGGUUAGCUGAUAGGAACGUGGAGAGCUUAGGAAUUAGUGAGUGCAAGAGUUUGUUGGACGAAUGCGUAAUGUCUGACUGGCAAGUUUGAUGGGAUAGCAGUGAGAAUGGUCGGGUUACUUACCAGUACAUUCGUGAUGUCACGAUUGUCAGCUGUCGACCGGAGUUUGGUUUAAACCUUAGUUCUGGGUUCCUCUUGACUGGUCACGGUUCUUUCAAUGCAUUCCUGCAUUCGAGGGGCCUGAGUGACAGUCCGGAAUGCCGUUGUGGCUCGAGCGAGGAGACAUGGAAACAUGUUCUCUGUGAGUGCCCGUUGUAUGGUGACCUUCGGGAUCUGGAUGCCUUGGGUGUUGUUGAAGUUAGGGGUGAGUUUGAGUUAGUCAAACGCUCUCCACGGCAGAGCUGUUUUUUCCAGACGACGCUUGGCGGUUUUCUGAGGAAAUAGUAUUUGUAAUUGAUUGUCAUUUGUUUGUUUUUUCUUGUGUUUUUAUUUGUGUUUAGACCCAUCGCUUUUGCGUUGGUCUUGGGGCCACCAACCCGUGACUGUUUUGGAGUCAAAAUUGGUAGUGUCCUUCGUGGCACGAAGCCUGACCGGAGGCUUUAUUCUGGUACCACGGGAGCCAGGGCCCGCGGAACUCGUUUCCGUCCUGGCUAUUGGUUGCGGCCCCUUGGGGAGCUUCGUGGUGGUUGUGGUUAACACUCAAGCGAGUAGAGCUUGGGCUCGACGUGGAGUUGCGUUACAACCUGGUGCUGUGACCCACAGAUCAGCAGAGGUUUAGACAGCCUCGCUCCACACCAGGGAGGAAGACAUGACCAAAACAGAUAGUCUUCAACUGGUACCGGAUGAACCGGGGCGCUGAUUGACGCUUAAAUUAAUCCUGUGCUUGGCACCGUGGGAUAAAGCCAAUACGGCAGGUGUUCACGUAAAACACAUUGACUUUAAUGUCCCUAUCUACUAUCUAGCGAAACCACAGCCAAGGGAACGGGCUUGGAAUAAUUAGCGGGGAAAGAAGACCCUUUUCAGCUUGACUCUAAUCUGGCAGUGUAAGGAGACAUAAGAGGUGUAGCAUAAGUGGGAGAUAUUAGAUUUCGGUUUGGUAUCGACAAUGAAAUACCACUACUCUUAUUGUUUCCUUACUUACUUGAUUAAAUGGAACGUGUAUCAUUUCCUAGCCAUUAUACGGAUAUAUUUAUUAUAUCUUAUGGUAUUGGGUUUUGAUGCAAGCUUCUUGAUCAAAGUAUCACGAGUUUGUUAUAUAAUCGCAAACAAAUUCUUUAAUGAGAAAAUGCAUUUAUGUAUUUUCAAUUUGAAAAUUUGGUAUAACUCCAAUUACUCAGGUAUGAUCCAAUUCAAGGACAUUGCCAGGUAGGGAGUUUGACUGGGGCGGUACAUCUCUCAAAUAAUAACGGAGGUGUCCCAUGGCCAGCUCAGUGCGGACAGAAACCACACAUAGAGCAAAAGGGCAAAUGCUGACUUGAUCUCGGUGUUCAGUACACACAGGGACAGCAAAAGCUCGGCCUAUCGAUCCUUUUGGUUUAAAGCGUUUUAACAAGAGGUGUCAGAAAAGUUACCAUAGGGAUAACUGGCUUGUGGCGGCCAAGCGUUCAUAGCGACGUCGCUUUUUGAUCCUUCGAUGUCGGCUCUUCCUAUCAUUGUGAAGCAAAAUUCACCAAGCGUUGGAUUGUUCACCCAUGCAAGGGAACGUGAGCUGGGUUUAGACCGUCGUGAGACAGGUUAGUUUUACCCUACUAAUGACAAAACGUUGUUGCGACAGCAUUCCUGCGUAGUACGAGAGGAACCGCAGGUACGGACCAAUGGCACAAUACUUGUUCGAGCGAACAGUGGUAUGACGCUACGUCCGUUGGAUUAUGCCUGAACGCCUCUAAGGUCGUAUCCGUGCUGGACUGCAAUGAUAAAUAAGGGGCAAUUUGCAUUGUAUGGCUUCUAAACCAUUAAAAGUUUAUAAUUUAUUUUAUAAACGACAAUGGAUGUGAUGCCAAUGUAAUUUGUAACAUAGUAAAUUGGGAGGAUCAUCGAUCACCUGAUGCCGCGCUAGUUGCAUAUAAAAACAUUAUUUAAUACAAUGACAAAGCC